AGCCCAGAGCCUGAAUCAGUGUGUGUGUUAGUGGAAGCGUCUGGAAAGGCGCGCGAUACAGGGUGACAGCCCCGUACACAAAAAUGCACAUGCUGUGAGCUCGAUGAGUAGGGCGGGACACGUGGUAUCCUGUCUGAAUAUGGGGGGACCAUCCUCCAAGGCUAAAUACUCCUGACUGACCGAUAGUGAACCAGUACCGUGAGGGAAAGGCGAAAAGAACCCCGGCGAGGGGAGUGAAAAAGAACCUGAAACCGUGUACGUACAAGCAGUGGGAGCACGCUUAGGCGUGUGACUGCGUACCUUUUGUAUAAUGGGUCAGCGACUUAUAUUCUGUAGCAAGGUUAACCGAAUAGGGGAGCCGAAGGGAAACCGAGUCUUAACUGGGCGUUAAGUUGCAGGGUAUAGACCCGAAACCCGGUGAUCUAGCCAUGGGCAGGUUGAAGGUUGGGUAACACUAACUGGAGGACCGAACCGACUAAUGUUGAAAAAUUAGCGGAUGACUUGUGGCUGGGGGUGAAAGGCCAAUCAAACCGGGAGAUAGCUGGUUCUCCCCGAAAGCUAUUUAGGUAGCGCCUCGUGAAUUCAUCUCCGGGGGUAGAGCACUGUUUCGGCAAGGGGGUCAUCCCGACUUACCAACCCGAUGCAAACUGCGAAUACCGGAGAAUGUUAUCACGGGAGACACACGGCGGGUGCUAACGUCCGUCGUGAAGAGGGAAACAACCCAGACCGCCAGCUAAGGUCCCAAAGUCAUGGUUAAGUGGGAAACGAUGUGGGAAGGCCCAGACAGCCAGGAUGUUGGCUUAGAAGCAGCCAUCAUUUAAAGAAAGCGUAAUAGCUCACUGGUCGAGUCGGCCUGCGCGGAAGAUGUAACGGGGCUAAACCAUGCACCGAAGCUGCGGCAGCGACGCUUAUGCGUUGUUGGGUAGGGGAGCGUUCUGUAAGCCUGCGAAGGUGUGCUGUGAGGCAUGCUGGAGGUAUCAGAAGUGCGAAUGCUGACAUAAGUAACGAUAAAGCGGGUGAAAAGCCCGCUCGCCGGAAGACC
rnacentral:rRNA from 1 species